AUGCUAGGGCCGCCGGGGACGGUGGACAUGGAGGCGGAGCCGGAGGCUGCAGCCGCGCUCGUGGCCUUGGGGUUGGAGCCCUCUGCGUCGCAGCUCGAUGUUUUCAAGAGCAGACUUCAUUUAUUGAUUGAUGGAAAUACGAGUGAUUUUGAUACGUGGGUAUCAUUGAUAAGUUCUGCAGAGGAAACUUCUGUUAAUGACAUAAGGGUUAUUAGCUUGGUCUACGAUACCUUCUUAUUGGAAUUUCCUUUGUGCCACGGCUACUGGAUUAAAUACGCAGCUCAUAAAGCAAGGUUAUGUACAUAUGAUGAUGUGGUGGGGGUUUAUGAACAAGCCGUCCAAGCAGUACCUCAUUGUACUGAUCUUUGGGUCAGUUACUGUGGAUUUGCUAUGAGUGCGUAUGAAGACCCUGCCCUUGUUAGAAGCUUAUUUGAGAGGGCUAUGUCUCUUGUUGGAAAGGAUUACUUGUGUUAUCACCUUUGGGAUAAGUACAUAGAGUUCGAGAAUUCUCAGAAGCAGCUGAUUCAGCUUGCUACCAUUUAUAUUAACAUGUUGAAAUUUCCCACAAAGAAGCUGCACAAGUAUUAUGGGAGUUUUAAGAAGUUGGUAACAUCAUUGGAACAAGAGGUUACACAUUGCGGUGCUGAAAUAUCAUCAGAAAAUUUACAUACUUCUGAAGCGAUGGAAUCUGAGGAAUCGGAAGGGUAUAUCUCGACUAAAGUUGCUCGCUUGUUUGACCAAGGUGGGCAUCUUAAACCUGAAGUACUGAAGCAGUACUUAUUUGCUGGGGAGCGUUUCUACCAAAGGUCCAGUGAACUCGACAAAGAAAUCUGUGGCUUUGAGGCAUCCAUCAAAAGGCCUUUUUUUCAUGUCAAGCCACUUGAUGAUGACCAACUUGAAAACUGGAACCUGUAUCUUGACUUUGUUGAGAAGAAUGGCGAUUUUGAUUGGGCUGUAAAACUUUAUGAGAGAUGCUUGAUCCCCUGCGCUAAUUAUUCUGAGUUUUGGAUUCGCUAUGCUGAGUAUGUUGAUGCCAAAGGUGGCAGAGAGAUUGCAAACUAUGCUCUUGGUCGAGCCUCGUCGUGUUUUGUGAAGGGAGUCCCGUCUUUCAGUAUGUACUAUUCAAUGUUCAAAGAGCAAAUUGGUGAUGCACCAGGUGCUCGUGCUCUUUUUGUUGAAGGAAGCAGUAAUUCCACUUCAGAUUUCUGCAUGAAUAUUAAUAGACUGGCCAACAUGGAGAAACGCAUGGGAAAUACCAAAGCAGCUACUGAGAUAUAUGAGAAUGCAAUUCAGGAUGCCAUGCAAAAGCAGAACACUGAAGUACUACCGGACCUGUACACUAAUUUUGCGCAAUUCAAAUAUGCGGCAAGUCAUAGCAUUGGUGAAGCUAAAGAAGUCUUUGUCAAGGGAAUAAAACAGGCACCCUGCAAACCAUUGAUUAAGGGAUUCAUACAGUUCAUGAGUACAUACGGAGGAUCUACAGAAAUACCUCUGCUUGAUUCUGUUAUUGCUAAUGCCGUGAUUCCUGGAUCUGGCGUAUCAACAGCUUUAAGCCUUGAAGACCGUGAAGAUAUCUCGUUGUUGUUUCUAAAGGUUAGAGUUUGUUGA
rnacentral:rRNA from 1 species